UACGUAGGGGGCAAGCGUUAUCCGGAUUUAUUGGGCAUAAAGGGCGUGUAGGUGGUACUUUAAGUCAGUUGUUAAAUGCAUAGGCUCAACUUAUGUUUGCGACUGAAACUGAAGUACUAGAGGUUAGUAGAGGAAAGCGGAACUCACAGUGUAGCGGUGAAAUGCGUAGAUAUUGUGAGGAACACCAGUUGCGAAGGCGGCUUUCUGGACUGAUCCUGACACUGAGGCGCGAAAGCGUGGGGAGCAAACGGGAUUAGAUACCCCGGUAGUCCACGCUGUAAACGGUGUUCACUAAGUGUUGGAGGUAUCGACCCCUUCAGUGCUAAAGAUAAUUCGUUAAGUGAACCGCCUGGGAAGUACGGUCGCAAGACUA
rnacentral:rRNA from 1 species